rnacentral:rRNA from 1 species
CCUGGGAACUGCGUUNUGAACUGGCAGGCUAGAGUGUGUCAGAGGGGGGUAGAAUUCCACGUGUAGCAGUGAAAUGCGUAGAGAUGUGGAGGAAUACCGAUGGCGAAGGCAGCCCCCUGGGAUAACACUGACGUUCAUGCUCGAAAGCGUGGGUAGCAAACAGGAUUAGAUACCCUGGUAGUCCACGCCCUAAACGAUGUCGAUUAGCUGUUGGGCAACUUGAUUGCUUAGUAGCGUAGCUAACGCGUGAAAUUGACCGCCUGGGGAGUACGGUCGCAAGAUUAAAACUCAAAGGAAUUGACGGGGACCCGCACAAGCGGUGGAUGAUGUGGAUUAAUUCGAUGCAACGCGAAGAACCUUACCUGGUCUUGACAUGUACGGAAUCUUCCAGAGACGGGAGAGUGCCUUCGGGAACCGUAACACAGGUGCUGCAUGGCUGUCGUCAGCUCGUGUCGUGAGAUGUUGGGUUAAGUCCCGCAACGAGCGCAACCCUUGUCAUUAGUUGCCAUCAUUCAGUUGGGCACUCUAAUGAGACUGCCGGUGACAAACCGGAGGAAGGUGGGGAUGACGUCAAGUCCUCAUGGCCCUUAUGACAGGGCUUCACACGUCAUACAAUGGUCGGUACAGAGGGUAGCCAAGCCGCGAGGUGGAGCCAAUCCCAGAAAACCGAUCGUAGUCCGGAUUGCACUCUGCAACUCGAGUGCAUGAAGUCGGAAUCGCUAGUAAUCGCAGGUCAGCAUACUGCGGUGAAUACGUUCCCGGGUCUUGUACACACCGCCCGUCACACCAUGGAAGUGGGGGAUACCAGAAGUAGGUAGGCUAACCGCAAGGAGGCCGC